rnacentral:rRNA from 1 species
AACGUACGCUGGCGGCACGCCUAACACAUGCAAGUCGAACGCAGUAGCAAUACUGAGUGGCAGACGGGUGAGUAACAUGUGGGAAUCUGCCUUGUGGUUCAGGACAACAUUGGGAAACCGAUGCUAAUACUGGAUAAGCCCUUACGGGGAAAGUUUUAAUGCCAUAAGAUGAGCCCGCAUUUGAUUAGUUAGUUGGUGAGGUAAUGGCUCACCAAGACAAUGAUCAAUAGCUGAUCUGAGAGGAUGAUCAGCCACACUGGGACUGAGACACGGCCCAGACUCCUACGGGAGGCAGCAGUGGGGAAUCUUGGACAAUGGGCGAAAGCCUGAUCCAGCAAUGCCGCGUGAGUGAUGAAGGCCUUAGGGUUGUAAAGCUCUUUUACCAGGGAUGAUAAUGACAGUACCUGGAGAAUAAGCUCCGGCUAAACCUCCGUG